rnacentral:rRNA from 1 species
UGACGAAGGGGGCUAGCGUUGCUCGGAAUUACUGGGCGUAAAGCGCGCGUAGGUGGUUCGUUAAGUUGGAUGUGAAAAUCCCCGGGCUCAACCUGGGGACUGCAUUCAAAACUGACGAGCUGAGAGUAUGGUAGAGGGUGGUGGAAUUUCCUGUAGUAGCGGUGAAAUGCGUAGAUAUAGGAAGGAACACCAGUGGCGAAGGCGAUCACCCUGGACUGAUACUGACACUGAGGUGACGGAAAGCGUGGGGAGCAAACAGG